UACAGAGGUGGCAAGCGUUGUUCGGAAUUACUGGGCGUAAAGGGCUCGUAGGCGGCCAUCUAAGUCAGACGUGAAAUCCCCCGGCUUAACCUGGGAACUGCGUCUGAUACUGGAAGGCUUGAGUAUGGGAGAGGGAUGUAGAAUUCCAGGUGUAGCGGUGAAAUGCGUAGAUAUUCGCAAGAACACCAGUGGCGAAGGCGGCUCACUGGCCCGGUACUGACGCUGAGGUGCGAAAGCGUGGGGAGCAAACAGG
rnacentral:rRNA from 1 species